CAGAGGUGCCGAGCGUUAGGCGGAAUCACUGGGCUUAAAGCGUGUGUAGGCGGAUCGUUAAGUGCCUUGUGAAAUCCCACGGCCCAACUGUGGAACUGCUUGGCAUACUGGCGGUCUUGAGCCACUUAGGGGCUACCGGAACAAACGGUGGAGCGGUGAAAUGCGUAGAUAUCGUUUGGAACGCCAAUGGUGAAAACAGGUAGCUGGGAGUGUGCUGACGCUGAGACACGAAAGCCAGGGGAGCGAACGGGAUUAGAUACCCCGGUAGUCCUGGCCGUAAACGAUGUCGACUAGAUCGCAGUGGCUCUGACGCCAUUGCGGUCGAAGCAAAAGUGCUAAGUCGACCGCCUGGGAAGUACGGUCGCAAGGCUA
rnacentral:rRNA from 1 species